UACGGAGGGUGCAAGCGUUAAUCGGAAUUACUGGGCGUAAAGCGCGCGUAGGUGGUUACGUCAGUCGGAUGUGAAAGCCCCGGGCUUAACCUGGGAAUUGCAUUCGAUACUGCGUAGCUAGAGUCUGGUAGAGGGUAGCGGAAUUCCAGGUGUAGCGGUGAAAUGCGUAGAUAUCUGGAGGAACAUCAGUGGCGAAGGCGGCUACCUGGACCAAGACUGACGCUGAGGUGCGAAAGCGUGGGGAGCAAACAGG
rnacentral:rRNA from 1 species